GGAAAUAUGCCCGAAAAGAAUAAGGACCACUUUGAUAGAGUGAGACAUGUGAGUUAAAAUCUCCCUAUUUCCU
rnacentral:tRNA from 2 species